rnacentral:lncRNA from 1 species
AGAAGAGCUGUGUCUUCAGGCUGGGAAGGAAGGGAGAACCCGAAAGAGCCCACAGAGGGUCCUAUCACGUUCCUCAAGAAGUGUGUGAUGAAGAUUCUCAACCAGGAAAGAGGUAAAGCACUGGUGAGAACUGUAGCUACACAGAGGGCUUCCCUGGAGGUUCCUACGUGCAGCUCAUUUAUCAUGGCCUUCUGAAACAAGCCUCUCUAGAACAUGGGUUAACACCGCAUAAAGAGGCCAGACCUCCCCUCAAAGCCCCAGCUGGCUGGCCCUAUUCAGCAACCCUGCCCUGAGGCCACUGUGGCUCAGCCUGGGAAAGCUCAUGACCUUCUGGAAGCCGCCCAACCAGGAGGUUGGCCCACUGAGUUUGUAAUCCUAGUUUUAGGCAGGGUAGUCAAUGUCUCCUUAGUGACAGAUCUCAUCUCUCCAGAUCUGAAGGAUGACUCUGAUUUUCACUCUUGAGGACAGUGAGCAAGAAUGUAGUUUGCGCCAGGGUAAAUCUCACCUUGUACUCGUCCACAGCAAUAACCUGUAUCUAAUUACGAUUAGUGUGACAAAGUCUAUGUUGCAAUGUCAUAAAAAGACAGCACAGCACCCGCAGUCUAAUUACUCAACACACCCUCAGUGUAUCUGUCCAUUUACUUUCAUGAUAGUAUCUUUCAGCUCCUAAUCAUGCCUGCCUCUGUUGAGAAGCACUGUGUUUCUGGGCUGAACCUGAAGAGAGAUCAGACAGACCUCCAAGUCUAUCAGAGAGACUUCUUAGCACGUAUUUACUUCCUGACAGGAACAGUGUCCCUGCUGUACUGCACACAGGGCUGGGUGAAGACAGGGCUCAAGGAAGGCUGAACUUUCAGCAGCCUCAGCAUCAUCUUCGCUGGCCGGAGCCUUUCUCUGCUUCCUUUUGGCAGGCAUGAAGUGUGAGCUGCUACCCAGUGACAGAGGAGCAUAAUCUAGGGGUCGGUGACCUUUGUAUUCAUCCCCAGCAUCACCCACCUCUCCAGGAGGACUGGCUGCCACAUUUGCAUGCAUAAUGUGCCCAGAAGCCUUCUUUACAGUGUUUACUUCUCUGUUGCUUCCAAAUGAAAUCACUGAAGGGCAAAUUUGAUUUUCAAAUCAGUUUUAAAACAUCUGCCUUCUAAAAAAGCAAGAGUGGAGAGAUAAGGCUUUGAGAUUACAGGCUCGGGCUAAUUAUUUUAACUGAUACCACUGUGUCCUGGCUAAAAAUAUACAUGCUAGGAUGUCUUUAACGCACAUCCAACACCUACUGGGUGUUAAUAUUUCAUUAGGAGAUAGCAGCCAGGCCUGAGGGUGUGCCUGUGAUUCAGAAGGACAAGGUGGGCCUACGACCCUUCUGCAGAGAAGGACAAGGUGGGCCUACGACCCUUCUGCAGAGAAGGACAAGGUGGGCCUACGACCCUUCUGCAGAGAAGGACAAGGUGGGCCUACGACCCUUCUGCAGAGAAGAACAAGGUGGACCUACGACCUUUCUGCAGAGAAGGACAAGGUGGGCCUACGACCCUUCUGCAGAGAAGGACAAGGUGGACCUACGACCCUUCUGCAGAGAAGGACAAGGUGGACCUACGACCCUUCUGCAGAGAAGGACAAGGUGGACCUACGACCCUUCUGCAGAGAAGAACAAGGUGGACCUACGACCCUUCUGCAGAGAAGGACAAGGUGGGCCUACGACCCUUCUGCAGAGAAGGACAAGGUGGACCUACGACCCUUCUGCAGAGAAGGACAAGGUGGGCCUACGACCCUUCUGCAGAGCCAGCUUUCCUGACCUUGUGCUUCUGGCACCUGUGUCUGUUCCAGCUGACUCUCAGUUUUAGCCAUCACUUCCAGGAGGAGAGCUGUUUAGUAUUUCUCAGGCUGUCCUUUUGUUCUGAGGUUGUGGCUUUGCUCUGGGAGUGGAGCUGUGACCCUUCUGCCGCUUGGGCUCAGGAGAGGAAGGGACAAGAGGUCUCUCCCCCUCCUUAACACACACACACACAUAAAACACACACACUUGCAGCACACAUGUCUGUGGGUAUCUCUACAUCUAUGCAGCCAUGGUAUGCCAGGGCUUUUCAGCCAUGCAUGCAAACAUUAAAAGAAAUGUCAGAGGUAAAUCUAUCCUGUCUUCUGCCCUAUGUGACUAUUGUACAUGUUUAUGUGAGCAUAACAAUACAUUCUUUUAAUAAGCACAGCUCCCCAGAGCCCAGCAUCAAGCUCUGUUUUAGGAGUGGCAUUUUAUAGAUGUGGAGACAGACUCACGGGGAUAGCGGGUGACCUGUCCAGAGACACGGAGCCAGUUCAUGGCACAGCAAGGCUGGCUUCAUCCUUUGUGGCUGGUGAUGCAUCUCCAUCCCAUCCCAAGAGCAUAGUCAGCAGCGUAACAAGCUUGUUGUACAGUCAGCACAAGUGUGACACUCACAUGUACUUCACAUUCACGUGCUGUGCUUUAGCAAGUGACUGCGCCACCCCUGGGCAGACGCCAAGCGCUCUUGCAGGUAUCCAACAUCCAGGAGACAUUCAGUAAACUCCACCACAACACAGGGACUGAACAGCUCUGUUCCUCAGGGAAGCCUGGACUUCAUAUUAUUGUCAAAAGCCAGCUGCAAACCUCAACUCCCUUCCAUAGGCUCUUUAGUUUGGUGCUCAGGAUUUCUGUCUGACACAGCUGAUGUCACAGUGAGUUCCCUGUUAAGUGAACUGGAUGAAUAGUUAGAGGCCCGUAUAAGCUAUGUCUGCUGGUAGGC